CCUGCAGGGUCUCAGAAAGAAUAGGAAAGGGGACGGAAAGCGAUUUGGUCCGCCUCUCCUCUUCCUCCUCCGUUCAAGCGACAGAUCGACCGAUCGAUCGAAUUCCUUCGAUAUGGUUCAUCUACAGCCAGACCCAUUCUCAACGAGGUUACAAGUAUGCGUGAGUGGAGCAAAGAUAAGGGCUCUGUCUGGGUCACCCUCAAGGGCUCAUCUAUGAAAGCAAGGCAAAGCGUAAGAAAAUGGAGACUGAAGGAGAAGCAAAGGAAUAUAGAUGCCUUGUUCGUGCUACUGAUGGCAGAAAAACCAUCACCACUUCAGUAGCUCUCUGUGAAGGAUCACCAAAAAUUCCAAGAUUCUUAUGCAGUGGUCCCUAAAGCUCAUAUGAAUGGAUUGAAGAAGAGGGAAAGAAGGGACAAGAAAAGGACUGCCAAGGUCCGACAGAAGCCAGGAUCAUCAAAAAAGCCUGAAUUGCCGAAGAAGCCGAAGCUUGCAAAACCCCCACUUUGAGACACUUCUUAUUCUUCUGUUAGUUUUGAUUGACAGCAGACCUUACCUGUUUGAAAUCCCUGUAUGUUUUACUGGAUGAAAAUCUCAGAAAUGCUCAUUAUUAUUCCUUUUUUCUUGCUGUUUUGCAUGGGCAUGGAGUAAACUGUGUGAAUAUUGGCUUGUUUGCUGUUUUGCAUGGGCAUGAGGUAAACUGUGAAUAUUUGAUAGAGGAUUUUUCAGCACAUAAGUCCUUUGUGUCUUUAUCCCAAUUUCUUGGUGCAUACAAUGUGGAAUAGUGCUCUGGUUAUGAGCAAAUGCUGCUUGUCCGACCAUGGAGAUCCCAAUUCUACACUACUUUCAUUUCUUGUGCCUAAUAUUUUUACUUCGAUAUACACUAACUUCUAUAACCCAAUGCAACCUUAUCGGAUGACCCCCCUAAAUCCAACCACUACCAUCCAAAUAUGAUCCAACCAUAGAUAUACAAGUCCAUUUUAAAGUGGAUUUCAUCUUCUUGUGGAUAGAGAGAAAAUGACCGAGAGGAAGUAAGCCAGUGCUGGUGGUGGGAGGGAGCGGCUACAUUCCUCAGCACCUCUUAUAGUUUGUCUCAAGAACCAAGUUUGAACAGGUUUCGGUAGACAGGUGUUGGAACCAGUUCAUAGCAUGAAGUUUCGACUGGAGGUCGGAUGACAUUCUCUUCAUUCUAAUACUAAACUGGAGUGCCACGCCUGGUCAUUUGAACCCCCCUCUCCCUUCCAUCCCAUUCUUUUGCUUUUAGGAGGGAAAUAGUAGGCCUUCCAAAAUGAUAAGAAUGAUCAUCACAAAGAAAAGCAGUCUGUGUACAUUGGACGAUCAUAUCCGGACCACAAGCGCAUCAUACUUGCUACUUUUCCAAUUUAUUGAUGGCGUUCCUUGACUGCGUGCUACUCUGGAAGCUUUUGGUGAGACAAAUUUUCAGCUAGCGUUUGACAUGUCCCAUGCAUUUAACAAGAGCUAAUUGCCAGGGCCUCUUGGGCUAGGACCGGACGGCAGCAUCUCCAUCCACAUCGCCAUGGUUGCUUUCGCCUUCUCAUACAUGCUUGGGUAUGCCGGAUGGCUAGCUCCAUCGAAACAGUCUGGUGCAGGCCUUGCCGCAUUAACAAGAGGCAUGCUUGUUAUUGCAAGCAUCAUGACGACAACAAGAAGCAAUAGCAGACGGCUCCUUCGGGAAUACAUCACUUGCUUCAGCGUACGGUAAGUUGGAAGAGAGAAAAGAAGAGGUUUGUAAUAUUAUAAGUUUCUCUCGAGAACUUCGGGCAGCUAGCUGGCUUCCAAGGAGAGUUUUUGGAUUGCUUCUUGUUGGUGCAGUGCUCAAAAUUUGAUUUGCGCGAACGAGUAUUUAUGGGGGGGGGGGGCAUAGUGUUUCGUGCGCUACUCUUGCUAAGGAAGGGGCAUUAGGGUUUUCGUGUGGACCAACGGCUUUGAAAUGGUCAGACAUGAGGAGGAAAACGAAGUGGGUGGCUCGGGGUUAGGUCCAUUGGUGUUUCCAUCGGCGGAGAGGGCUAGAGUUAAUACAGGUAUGUUUGGUCGUUUGUGUAACUAGGAUGGCAGCUCUCGUAAUAUUUCUCGCUCGAAGUGUCGAACGUUUGAACUGACUACGGGCAAGUGGCGUUUGAAAAGUUAAUUGCCCUCUGAAGUCAAGUCCGUUGAUGUGACAUACGGAAAGGUUUGUCUUCGGGUUGCUUCGAAGCGGCAACCUUACCUAUAGACUCGAAAUUCCAAAAUGAGAUCCGUGAGUUUGCAAAGCUUUUGGCAAGUUGCCGGACAAGCUUCGGCUGCACACGGCAAUAUUUGCUUCUAACAAAAAUUACGUGUAUGUUUUCUCUCUGACACGUGGAUCGUUAUUCAUGCCGGAUGGAGUCAAUGCCUUGAUUGUUACUAUAGUAUUCACCCCUUGAUCGACCAACCAGCCAAUAAAGUUGCUCGCUGUUUAGUUGGUAUUUGCCCUCCCACGAUGGGUGUUAUUUUGCAGAAUUAUGGUGUUUAGUUGAAAAGGUGGUGGUGAGGCUAUUGUAAGGCUGAGUCCCCCCUCCACUCCUGUUGUCAGCAUUGUUGAUGGCCAACGUGGAGUUCCUGUGAUGUGUUAUUAGUUCUUUGGUACAGAUCCAAAGCUCUACAUGGCUUGCAUUGCAUGUUAUAUUGUGAUAGUUCUCAUAUGUGGUAUUAUGGAAGAUUUGAUGUAUGAAAAGU